CUUCCAGAUGCAACACCAGCACAGAUCAAGAAAGCCUAUUACAAUUGUAUGAAGGCUUGUCAUCCUGACUUGAGUGGUGAUAAUCCGGAGACAACAAAUUUCUGUAUGUUCAUCAAUGAGGUCUAUGAGGUGGGUUUCCCUACGGAGCUUAAUGCUUUGAGCUCGAAGCGGGAGAGAUGGGUGCCCAGAUAAAAUGUCUGGGUGCCCAGAUCAGAUUUGGAUCCCAUAAAAAUGAAUGGACGAAAGUUCCCCUAUAAAUUUGCCAGCUGGUAAGCUCCGUAACGGAGUUAACGUCCAUAAUCCUCGGUCGGGCAAACAACCUCAGGUAUCAAAGUGAUAUUUUUUUAAGUUCAGGUACCAAAAGUCAUAAGGAGGCAAAGUUCAGGUACUGUACGGACCAUUUUCCCUUACAUAAAUGUUUUCUCUAUGACGCGAGAAGCAUGAAUUUUCUUGAUUCUUCUAAUAUUCAGAACCUCCAGUUUCUCUAGAGGAGCAUGUGACAUUCCGUCUGUGGAAGAAGUUGAUGAAUUAUUGGUUGUUUGUAUCGUUCAAAUGGCUGACUGCAGGAAGUGAUCUUCUAUGGAAGCCCUUGAAUUAUGAGUUUGCUGAUGCAGACACGCAGUGACAAGGUCCAUGCAAGAAUUUUGGCGGAAUUUUGGGCUUGAGAAUUAUUAAAUAUCUUGUGGAGCGUCUAAGAGAAGAAUAUCGGGUAUUUGUUCCAGAAACAGAUAUCCCUUCUUUGCUGAGUUGCUCGAGGAUGUUGAGCCUUCUGUUAAAUCUCUGGCACAAGAAAUCUUCAACGAAUUGAGCAUCAUGACUGGUGAAGACCUCUCGCAGUAUAUCUGAAUGCGAUAUUAUAGAGUCCCCACCUGACCAUGUUAGACAGGAAAGAUAUUGAUAGCUAAAUUUAUAAGCUAUUGAUUUUCCUCAUUCACACUUGAGAUUGUCAAUUGUAGCAAGGAUAAACAAGGGUCUUUCCCGCAGAGGACUAAGGUUAUAACUACUCAAAACAAUGUCACAAAAGUGGAGACAGGCUAUGGUACCCCCGGCCCAUUUUUAUUUUUUUAAAUAUAUAACA